AUGGAGGCUGAAUGCUGCUGGGUGCAGAUGGGGAGCAAUGCAGGAUUUGAGCGUGGACUGCACAGAGUUCCUCCCAAGAGAAGAGGAAUGAGGCAGGUCUUUAAAGCACAGAACUGCCAACAAUUCAACACAGAGUAUGAAAAAUGGCGGCGAAGUACAGUGUCGAAUGUCUUCAGAGAGGAUGGACAAGGACGGGAGGUAGGUGUCUCAGCAACACUUUCACUCCUCCCCCAUCGUUCUGUCUGA
rnacentral:lncRNA from 1 species